ensembl:ncRNA F56E3.14 ncRNA
CUCAUUCUCGAUCUAUUGGCCUGGUUCAAAAACAAAGACAGAGAGGAAAGAUGUCAUGUGCAUUUGAUUCAACGACGCCAUAAUUUCCUGUCAGAAGCACAAUAAUAACUAUCGUCGGUGGCGCAAUGAUGAGAAUAGAAAUGUCAAAUGAGGCAGGAGAAAGCAAGAUAUCUAUAGUAUAUUAGCUGCUCGACGGGAACUGCGUCAGUUUUUUUUUUC